UACGUAGGGUGCAAGCGUUAAUCGGAAUUACUGGGCGUAAAGCGUGCGCAGGCGGUUUUGUAAGCCAGAUGUGAAAUCCCCGGGCUUAACCUGGGAAUGGCAUUUGGGACUGCAAGGCUUGAGUGCGGCAGAGGAGACUGGAAUUCCUGGUGUAGCAGUGGAAAUUCGUAGAUAAUUCGGAAGAACACCAGUGGCGAAGGCGACACACUGGGCCAUUACUGACGCUGAGGCGCGAAAGCGUGGGGAGCGAAACAG
rnacentral:rRNA from 1 species